rnacentral:rRNA from 1 species
AGCGUUGCUCGGAAUUACUGGGCGUAAAGGGAGCGUAGGCGGGUUAUCAAGUUGGGGGUGAAAGCCCGGGGCUCAACCUCGGAACUGCCUUCAAAACUGAUAGCCUAGAGUACGGGAGAGGUAUGUGGAACUCCGAGUGUAG